CCUGACACAGGAAGAAUGCCAGUCAAGACAAUACUCGAGGAUUGAAAGCACAUUUGUCUUUGACUUUGAGUAUCGGAACAAUUGCCUGUGCCUGGAUGCAUCUGAAGAAGAUGGAUCUCUCGGACGACUAGUCAAUGACAACCACAAAAAUCCAAAUUGUGUCAUG